CCAAUAGCGUAUAUUAAAGUUGUUGCAGUUAAAAAGCUCGUAGUUGAAUUUCGAGAUCAAUAUGUUGGUCGUGCCUCGGUAUGUACUUGCAUCAUUGAUUUCUCCCUUCUGAUGAACCAUGAUGCCAUUAAUUUGGUGUUGUGGGGAAUCAGGACUGUUACUUUGAAAAAAUUAGAGUGUUUAAAGCAGGCUCACGCUUGAAUACAUUAGCAUGGAAUAAUGAAGUAGGACGUUUGAUUCUAUUUUGUUGGUUUCUAGGAUCGACGUAAUGAUUAAUAGGGAUAGUUGGGGGCAUUAGUAUUCAAUUGUCAGAGGUGAAAUUCUUGGAUUUAUUGAAGACUAACUACUGCGAAAGCAUUUGCCAAGGAUGUUUUCAUUAAUCAAGAACGAAAGUUAGGGGAUCGAAGACGAUCAGAUACCGUCGUAGUCUUAACCAUAAACUAUGCCGACUAGGGAUCGGAUGAUGUUAAUUUUUUAAUGACUCAUUCGGCGCCUUACG
rnacentral:rRNA from 1 species